AUUAAUUCUCGGAGAGAAGUUGUAAAUAUUUCUCGGAGAAUGUGCUUCUGGAACUUCUCGCCAACAAUUCGCACGAAUCUAUCUAUAUUUAUAACUGUGGAUUGCGACUGAAUUUCGACUAAGCAUGAAAAAUCGCUCGUUUACAUGCUACGCUAUUACGAGCUUGUAUAAAACUGCUAAAUGGCUUUUCUCUAGCCAAAAAACUAUUAAUAGUCAGCUGCUGACUGAUGAUUACGUUAAUAGGAAAUUGUGGAGUAAAUCUAGUUAGUGUUCAACAGCCUAUAAUCCUAGCUUACCCUUAAACGGAAAGGAUCGAGUACGAGGGGUGGCUCGUGAAUAUGAAAUUGCGUGAAAUGAUCGACCUCGUCUGCAAUUUAUGAGUCAUCGAUAAACGGGCUUAUUAACUCUCGAGAUCCUUCGAGGCCACUUGAGUUUUUAUUUGAUUAUGUGUGACCUAGUUUCUCACGAGUGAUAUAUAACUCACAAUCAGUGUUAUGUGUAUUAAACAUUGAUUACUGGUAUAUUGUCGUCAGUUUCCUGCGAGAUUGCGUGCGAGGUAAAUAAGGUCGGGAAUUAUAAGAUGACGAACUCCAGAAGCCCGAUAAUUGUAUAUUAGGAUCUACGUUAAAGCUUUAAGGCUGAUUGCAUCGACAUGAAUUAAUGUUAAUUGAAUUCUAAUUCAAAUCUUCUACGUCGCCGCUUAGUUCAGAUAACAUUAACAAAAAUAAUACCGAAAUCAUAAGCUUGAAAGAAAGAACGGAUUAAAGGGCGGCUUGUGCUCCAUUAAUCAACGCAAUCAUUUCGCGACUCGGCGCGAAAAGUGUGUCAAGUUUGCGGGUAAGAUAACCCGCUGCUGUCUUCGGUAUCAGCGUAAGCAGCGUCCUUGACACGAUAUUCGGAUGUAGAGCAACUUCCAAUCAAGUUCGUCGCCAGCGCGGAAGAAAUAGGAAGAAGCGAGGAUGAAAACUGCACAUAUCGUGGAUCAAUUUGCCUCGCGGACUAUACAUAUA